AGACAGAUCCAGCAAUGCCGCGUGAGUGAUGAAGGUCUUAGGAUUGUAAAAUUCUUUCACCGGGGACGAUAAUGACGGUACCCGGAGAAGAAGCCCCGGCUAACUUCGUGCCAGCAGCCGCGGUAAUACGAAGGAUCCAAGCGUUAUCCGGAUUUAUUGGGUUUAAAGGGUCCGUAGGCGGAUGUGUAAGUCAGUGGUGAAAGCCCAUCGCUCAACGGUGGAACGGCCAUUGAUACUGCAGGACUUGAAUUAUUGGGAAGCAACUAGAAUAUGUAGUGUAGCGGUGAAAUGCUUAGAGAUUACAUGGAAUACCAAUUGCGAAGGCAGGUUGCUACCAAUGGAUUGACGCUGAUGGACGAAAGCGUGGGGAGCGAACAGGAUUAGAUACCCUGGUAGUCCACGCCGUAAACGAUGCUAACUCGUUUUUGGGUUUUCGGAUUCAGAGACUAAGCGAAAGUGAUAAGUUAGCCACCUGGGGAGUACGAACGCAAGUUUGAAACUCAAAGGAAUUGACGGGGGCCCGCACAAGCGGUGGAUUAUGUGGUUUAAUUCGAUGAUACGCGAGGAACCUUACCAAGGCUUAAAUGGGAAAUGACAGGUUUAGAAAUAGACUUUUCUUCGGACAUUUUUCAAGGUGCUGCAUGGUUGUCGUCAGCUCGUGCCGUGAGGUGUUAGGUUAAGUCCUGCAACGAGCGCAACCCCUGUCACUAGUUGCCAUCAUUAAGUUGGGGACUCUAGUGAGACUGCCUACGCAAGUAGAGAGGAAGGUGGGGAUGACGUCAAAUCAUCACGGCCCUUACGCCUUGGGCCACACACGUAAUACAAUGGCCGGUACAGAGGGCAGCUACACUGCGAAGUGAUGCAAAUCUCGAAAGCCGGUCUCAGUUCGGAUUGGAGUCUGCAACUC
rnacentral:rRNA from 1 species